GAUGAACGCUGGCGGCGUGCCUAAUACAUGCAAGUCGAGCGAACGGACGAGGAGCUUGCUCCUCUGACGUUAGCGGCGGACGGGUGAGUAACACGUGGAUAACCUACCUAUAAGACUGGGAUAACUUCGGGAAACCGGAGCUAAUACCGGAUAAUAUAUUGAACCGCAUGGUUCAAUAGUGAAAGACGGUCUUGCUGUCACUUAUAGAUGGAUCCGCGCUGCAUUAGCUAGUUGGUAAGGUAACGGCUUACCAAGGCAACGAUGCAUAGCCGACCUGAGAGGGUGAUCGGCCACACUGGAACUGAGACACGGUCCAGACUCCUACGGGAGGCAGCAGUAGGGAAUCUUCCGCAAUGGGCGAAAGCCUGACGGAGCAACGCCGCGUGAGUGAUGAAGGUCUUCGGAUCGUAAAACUCUGUUAUUAGGGAAGAACAAAUGUGUAAGUAACUAUGCACAUCUUGACGGUACCUAAUCAGAAAGCCACGGCUAACUACGUG
rnacentral:rRNA from 1 species